rnacentral:rRNA from 1 species
UGGUGGAGUGAUUUGUCUGGUUAUAAUUCCGUUAACGAACGAGACCUCAGCCUGCUAAAUAGUUGGCAUAAUCCCUCGUGGAUUGUCGCCGACUUCUUAGAGGGACCU